AUCCAGCUAGCGAGUCCCGAAUAGGGCGAAACGCGAGUUCUGGAU
rfam:Schistosoma haematobium scaffold13_34, whole genome shotgun sequence.